CCUACUGGAGGCUGCAGUGGGGAAUAUUGCACAAUGGGGGAAACCCUGAUGCAGCGACGCCGCGUGAAGGACGAAGUAUUUCGGUAUGUAAACUUCUAUCCGCAGGGCAGAAAAUGACGGUACCUGACUAAGAAGCCCCGGCUAACUACGUGCCAGCAGCCGCGGUAAUACGUAGGGGGCAAGCGUUAUCCGGAUUUACUGGGUGUAAAGGGAGCGUAGGCGGGUUAGCAAGUCAGAAGUGAAAGCCCGGGGCUCAACCCCGGGACUGCUUUUGAAACUGUUGAACUAGAGUGCAGGAGAGGUAAGUGGAAUUCCUAGUGUAGCGGUGAAAUGCGUAGAUAUUAGGAGGAACACCAGUGGCGAAGGCGGCUUACUGGACUGUAAAUGACGCUGAGGCUCGAAAGCGUGGGGAGCAAACAGGAUUAGAUACCCUUGUAGUC
rnacentral:rRNA from 1 species